rnacentral:miRNA from 1 species
UCUGUGGUCGCCUUUUUAU